rnacentral:rRNA from 1 species
AACGUAGGUGGCGAGCGUUAUCCGGAUUCAUUGGGCGUAAAGAGCUUGUAGGUGGCUGGGUAAGUUGGACGUGAAAACUCCGGGCUUAACUUGGAGAGGCCGUUCAAUACUGUCUGGCUGGAGGAUGUCAGAGGGAAGUGGAAUUCCUGGUGUAGCAGUGAAAUGCGUAGAUAUCAGGAGGAACACCCGUGGCGAAGGCGGCUUCCUGGGACACACCUGACACUGAGAAGCGAAAGCCAGGGGAGCAAACGGG